ACAAGAGUAUCCCUCAAAUAAGCUAAUUUGAAGGAUCCUUCAAUGGAGGCUUUUUGUAUGUAUAUAUACACAUAUAUACAUAUGCAUCAGAAUGCGCGGCUACCAAGCUGUGAAUUUGGAUGAAUAGGUGUGUGAGAAGUGUACAGGCAGUGGGGUUAGGAGCAAGCGUUGGCGCUUAGAAUUUUUUUUUUUUUUUUUUAAUUGGAUGAAAGGCUGCUUGAAGUUAAGUUCAAGCAGAUUUUUAAUUACACUUUUUUUCCCAAAUAAAAAAAUAUAAUACUUUAUUAAUAUUUUAAUUUAUAUGGGCGGUUUUACCCCUCAAUUUAACAACAAAAU
rnacentral:lncRNA from 1 species